UUCUGCGUAGUUUAGUGGCUAUGACGGGUCCUUGUCAUUCACCUUGGUUCGGACCAGACCCGGGUUCAAUUCCCGGCGCGGAAG
rnacentral:tRNA from 1 species